rnacentral:rRNA from 1 species
GCUGCAGUGGCUGUCGUCAGCUCGUGUCGUGAGAUGUUGGGUUAAGUCCGUAACGAGCGCAACCCUUGUCCUUAGUUACCAGCACGUUAUGGUGGGCACUCUAAGGAGACUGCCGGUGACAAACCGGAGGAAGGUGGGGAUGACGUCAAGUCAUCAUGGCCCUUACGGCCUGGGCUACACACGUGCUACAAUGGUCGGUACAAAGGGUUGCCAAGCCGCGAGGUGGAGCUAAUCCCAUAAAACCGAUCGUAGUCCGGAUCGCAGUCUGCAACUCGACUGCGUGAAGUCGGAAUCGCUAGUAAUCGUGAAUCAGAAUGUCACGGUGAAUACGUUCCCGGGCCUU